rnacentral:rRNA from 1 species
AUGAAUGCCCCAAGUUCCUCUCCGCGCCCUUUCCCACCGUCCCUUCAAUUCCUUAUACUUGGAGGGUGCACGGAGGGCAUGCACACGCUUGCAGGCCUCUCAGACCUCACCUCUCUCGAGACCUUACGCAUUUGUGAUUUUAAUAUGAAGCAUGAUCUUUUAAGGUGCGAGGGCCUGUUGCCUCUCCUUACCCAGGGCAAGCUCAAGUCAUUACUCGUCCGCGACAGAUCCAAAUUCUUCGCCGGCCUGGUUCCCGCACAGGCGCUGCAUGGUGGUGAACAAGAGCAGCUGCUCUUUUCCCAUUCCUCCAAACUGCAGGACCUCUCGAUGGACGACAUCGCAGGAGUCCUUGCUGCGCCUGUCUGCCGCCUCCUCUCUUCCUCCCUCACCAAACUACGCAUUGAAUCCAACGACGAGGCCCUUUCCCUCAUCGUUUCCGUCCAGGAGCUCGAAAUUUUGUGUUGCGGCGAGCUGUGCUGCCUCCCAGCGUGUCUAAACAAGCUCACCAACCUCAGGAGAUUAAGUUUCUGGAGAAUAGGCAUCCGGUCGAUGCGCAAUGAUGUCCUCCCCAGUUCUCUGCAGUUGUUAUCUCUCAGCGAGUGCAUCAAGCUGCGGUGUCUCCCAGCAGGGCUGCACAAGCUUACCAACCUCAAGAGACUAGAUAUCAUUUCGUGUCCAGCCAUCCGGUCGCUGCCCAAGAAUGGCUUCCCCAGCUCGCUGCAGGAGUUACAUGUCAGACAUUAUGAAAACGCCGAGCUAGCACAACAAUGCAGACGGACUCUCUCCAUCCAUGCACUGUUUGCACGCAAGAGGGUCUCCUUUGUGACUUGGUGCUCUAGUUGGCAGGCUCGCAUGCCGAUUGCUGCUGAUGUUACUGUGAGGUUCACACUCCUUAAUGCUACCCAACUGCACGUGUGCAAACUUACCAAACUGCAAUGCCUCCCAGCAGGGCUGCACAGGCAUACCAACUUUGAGAGACUAAGGAUCAUGGGUAUGUGUGGAGCCCAUGUAGUCAGCUGCCCAAGGAGAGACAUCCCCAGUUCACUGAAAGAGUUGUGGCAACAAGGAGUUCAAACAGCAAUACAGAAAGUAAAUGGAAGCCAAUCUAAAGCCAUAUUAUCGACUAAUUCAAACCAAGUAUAUAGUUCAUCUUCCCACUUUGCCGUGGUUGAUCUAGUUACUUUUCUCCAGCACUUCUCGGGCUGUGUGCAUCAAUUGACGCAGAGGCUGAGGGUACAACCUCCUUUUCGGAAAAAAUCUAACACUUUUGCAUUAUUCCCUACUGCACACGAAGCAAUGGAGAUUAUGGACCAGUCUGCAAUGGAUCUCAAAUUUGUUGACAUCUCGGUGAUGUGCAAGGCAAGGAAGCUGUAUGAAUCUGCCAUUUGUCUUGAACCUGAAAUUCUCAGAGCUGCAUUGCCAUUGCGUGAUUUGCAUGUUGGUGAAUGCCCGAUCAAGGAUGCAAUUUUGCUACUUGAAAGAUAUCAGCACAAUGGCCAAAUGAUUCUCAACGCAAUGUGCUUCCCCCUUUGGUGCUUUGUAUAA